AAGUCGUAACAAGGUCUCCGUUGGUGAACCAGCGGAGGGAUCAUUAUCGAGUUACCGCUCUACAACCCUUUGUGAACAUACCUAACUGUUGCUUCGGCGGGCAGGGGGUCCCCCCGGGGACGCCCUCCCGGCCCCGCCCCCCUACCAGGGGACGUGGCGCCCGCCGGAGGAUACCUAACUCUAUUUUAACGACGUUUCUUCUGAGUGGCACAAGCAAAUAAUUAAAACUUUUAACAACGGAUCUCUUGGUUCUG
rnacentral:misc_RNA from 1 species